GACGAACGCUGGCGGCGUGCCUAAUACAUGCAAGUUGAGCGCUGAAGGUUGGUACUUGUACCAACUGGAUGAGCAGCGAACGGGUGAGUAACGCGUGGGGAAUCUGCCUUUGAGCGGGGGACAACAUUUGGAAACGAAUGCUAAUACCGCAUAAAAACUUUAAACACAAGUUUUAAGUUUGAAAGAUGCAAUUGCAUCACUCAAAGAUGAUCCCGCGUUGUAUUAGCUAGUUGGUGAGGUAAAGGCUCACCAAGGCGAUGAUACAUAGCCGACCUGAGAGGGUGGUCGGCCACAUUGGGACUGGGACACGGCCCAAACGCCUGCGGGAGGCAGCAGUAGGGAAUCUUCGGCAAUGGACGAAAGUCUGACCGAGCAACGCCGCGUGAGUGAAGAAGGUUUUCGGAUCGUAAAACUCUGUUGGUAGAGAAGAACGUUUGUGAGAGUGGAAAGCUCAUCAAGUGACGGUAACUACCCAGAAAGGGACGGCUAACUACGUG
rnacentral:rRNA from 1 species